GAUGAACGCUGGCGGCGUGCCUAAUACAUGCAAGUCGAGCGGAGUAGAUUAGAAGCUUGCUUCUAAUCUACUCAGCGGCGGACGGGUGAGUAACACGUGGGUAACCUGCCCUUUAGAUUGGGAUAACAUCAGGAAACUGGUGCUAAUACCGAAUAGGAGACUUGGUCGCAUGACCGAGUUUGGAAAGGUGGCGUAAGCUACCACUAGAGGAUGGACCCGCGGCGCAUUAGCUAGUUGGUGGGGUAACGGCCUACCAAGGCGACGAUGCGUAGCCGACCUGAGAGGGUGAUCGGCCACAUUGGGACUGAGACACGGCCCAGACUCCUACGGGAGGCAGCAGUGGGGAAUAUUGCACAAUGGGGGAAACCCUGAUGCAGCAACGCCGCGUGAGUGAUGAAGGCCUUCGGGUUGUAAAGCUCUGUUUACAGGGACGAUAAUGACGGUACCUGUAGAGGAAGCCACGGCUAACUACGUGCCAGCAGCCGCAGUAACAC
rnacentral:rRNA from 1 species